rnacentral:pre_miRNA from 1 species
CGUGCACUGGUGGGGUCCCUUGGCCUGGCCUGUGCCCUCUCACAACCUGGGACCUCUCAGAGAGCCAGUUUUGGCCCAAUCCCUGUAGGCCAGGCCGAGGGACCCCACCGGUGCACA